rnacentral:rRNA from 1 species
AUUGAACGCUGGCGGCAGGCCUAACACAUGCAAGUCGAGCGGAUGAAGGGGGCUUGCUCCUGGAUUCAGCGGCGGACGGGUGAGUAAUGCCUAGGAAUCUGCCUGGUAGUGGGGGAUAACGUCCGGAAACGGGCGCUAAUGCCGCAUACGUCCUGAGGGAGAAAGUGGGGGAUCUUCGGACCUCACGCUAUCAGAUGAGCCUAGGUCGGAUUAGCUAGUUGGUGGGGUAAAGGCCUACCAAGGCGACGAUCCGUAACUGGUCUGAGAGGAUGAUCAGUCACACUGGAACUGAGACACGGUCCAGACUCCUACGGGAGGCAGCAGUGGGGAAUAUUGGACAAUGGGCGAAAGCCUGAUCCAGCCAUGCCGCGUGUGCGAAGAAGGUCUUCGGAUUGUAAAGCACUUUAAGUUGGGAGGAAGGGCAGUAAGUUAAUACCUUGCUGUUUUGACGUUACCAACAGAAUAAGCACCGGCUAACUUCGUG